rnacentral:rRNA from 1 species
UAGUCCCAGCCGUAAACGGUGUGCACUUGGUGUGGGAGGUAUUGACCCCUUCCGUGCCGGAGCUAACGCGUUAAGUGCACCGCCUGGGGAGUACGGCCGCAAGGCUAAAACUCAAAGAAAUUGACGGGGGCCCGCACAAGCGGAGGAGCAUGUGGCUUAAUUCGAUGCAACGCGAAGAACCUUACCAGGGCUUGACAUGUAACUGCACGCCCCGUGAAAGCGGGGUUCCUUCGAGGGUGUUACACAGGUGCUGCAUGGCUGUCGUCAGUUCGUGCCGUGAGGUGUUGGGUUAAGUCCCGCAACGAACGCAACCCUUGUGUCUAGUUGCCACCGCAGGUGAUAAGCCUGCGAGCACUCUAGACAGACUGCCCGUACAAGCGGGAGGAAGGUGGGGACGACGUCAAGUCAGUAUGGCCCUUACGCCCUGGGCUGCACACGUGCUACAAUGGCCGGUACAGAAGGAUGCAAUACCGCGAGGUGGAGCAAAUCCCCAAAGCCGGCCCCAGUUCGGAUUGG